AGAGUUUGAUCCUGGCUCAGGAUGAACACUAGCGGCGUGCCUGAGAUAUGCAAGUCGAAUGUCUUUUUCUCCGCAAGGAGAGAAGGUAAUGGCGGACGGCUGAGUAACACGUGGGGACCUGCCCUUAAGUAGGGAAUAGCUCACCGAAAGGUGGGGUAAUACUCUAUAUCCAGUUUACUGGAAAGAGCUUAACUGCUCGCUUAAGGAUGGACCUGCGUCCUAUCAGAUAGUUGGUGAGGUAAAGGCUCACCAAGUCUAUGACGGGUAGCUGGCCUGAGAAGGUGGUCAGCCAGAGGAGCACUGAGAUACGGGCUCCACUCCUACGGGAGGCAGCAAUCAGGAAUAGUCGGCAAUGGGCGAAAGCCUGACCGCGCGACGUCGCGUGUAGGAUUAAGCAUUAACGUGCGUAAACUACUGUGGUAAGAGAAGAAAUUCCCCCUAUGGGGGAACUGACGGUAUCUUACUAGAAAGAGGCCGCUAACUGCGUGCCAGAAGCGUCGGUAAGACGUGGGCCUCAAGUGUUAUCCGGUGUUAUUGGGCGUAAAGAGUCGUGUAGGUGGUCUAGUAAGUUCUUACUUAAAGACUGAGGCUCAACCUCAGGAAAAGCGAGAAUACUGCAAGACUAGAAUGUUCUCAAGGGAGAUUGGAACUGAACGAGUAGCAGUGAAAUGCGUUGGUACGUUCAGGAACAUCAGUGGCGAAGGCGAAUCUCUGGGAGAAUAUUGACACUGAGACACGAAAGCUAGGGGAGCGAAGCAGAUUAGAGACCUGCGUAGUCCUAGCCCUAAACCAUGCUUGCUGGCUGCAUUGGCUCCAAUUUAUUGGAGACGGUGUGGCGAAGCUAACGCGUUAAGCAAGCCGCCUGGGGAGUACGGUCGCAAGGCUGAAACUCAAAGGAAUUGGCGGGGAGGCACACAAUCAGUGGAACAUGUGGUUUAAUUCGAAACAAACCGAACAACCUCACCAAGAUUUGACAUACUAAUGACGACAUUUAGAAAUAUUUGUCCUUUAGCAAUAAACAUUAGAACAGGUGCUGCAUGGCUGUCGUCAGCUCGUUCCGUGAGGAGUACCCUUAAGUGGGACAACGA
rnacentral:rRNA from 1 species